GCCGGGUGUGGUGGUGGGCGCCUGUAGUCCCAGCCACUCAGGAGGCUGAGGCAGGAGAAUGGUGUGAACCCGGGAGGCGGAGCUUGCAGUGAGCCGAGAUUGUGCCACUGCACUCCAGCCUGAGGUGACAGAGUGAGACUCUGUCUCAAAAAAAAAUAAUAAUAAUAACUUCUUUUUAUUUAUUUACUUGUUUUUUUGGAGGCAGAGUCACUCUGUUGCCCAGGCUGGAGUGCAGUGUGGACACAAUCUUGGCUCACUGCAGCCUCUUUCUCCCGGGUUCAAGCAAUUCUCAUGCCUCAG
rnacentral:SRP_RNA from 1 species